GACGAACGCUGGCGGCGUGCUUAAUACAUGCCAGUCGAACGGACAUGCUCGAGCUUUCUGGAGUGGAUCAGUGGCGAACGGGUGAGUAACACGUGAGCAACCUGCCCCUGACUCUGGAAGAUGCGCUGGAAACGGCGUCUAAUAUUGGAGACGAAACUGGCCCGCAUGUGCAUGGUUUGGAAAGUUCUUCGGUUUGGGAUGGUCUCGCGGCCUAUCAGCUGGUUUGUGAGGUAAUUGCUCACCAAGGCUACGACGGGUAGCCUGCCCGAGAGGGCGACCGGCCACCAUGCGACUGAGACACGGACCAGACUCCUACGGGAGGCAACAGUGGAGAAUCUUACAGAGUGGCCGCGCGCCUGAUGCAGCGACGCCGCGUGCGGGAUGCCCGCCUACGAGUUGUAAACCUCUUUCAGCAGGGAAGAAGCGAAAGUGACGGUACCUGCAGAAGAAGCCCCGGCUAACUACGUG
rnacentral:rRNA from 1 species